rnacentral:rRNA from 1 species
AACAGGAUUAGAUACCCUGGUAGUCCACGCCCUAAACGAUGUCAACUGGUUGUUGGGAGGGUUUCUUCUCAGUAACGUAGCUAACGCGUGAAGUUGACCGCCUGGGGAGUACGGCCGCAAGGUUGAAACUCAAAGGAAUUGACGGGGACCCGCACAAGCGGUGGAUGAUGUGGUUUAAUUCGAUGCAACGCGAAAAACCUUACCUACCCUUGACAUGCCAGGAAUCUUGCAGAGAUGUGAGAGUGCUCGAAAGAGAACCUGGACACAGGUGCUGCAUGGCCGUCGUCAGCUCGUGUCGUGAGAUGUUGGGUUAAGUCCCGCAACGAGCGCAACCCUUGUCAUUAGUUGCCACGAAAGGGCACUCUAAUGAGACUGCCGGUGACAAACCGGAGGAAGGUGGGGAUGACGUCAGGUCAUCAUGGCCCUUAUGGGUAGGGCUACACACGUCAUACAAUGGCCGGGACAGAGGGCUGCCAACCCGCGAGGGGGAGCUAAUCCCAGAAACCCGGUCGUAGUCCGGAUCGCAGUCUGCAACUCGACUGCGUGAAGUCGGAAUCGCUAGUAAUCGCGGAUCAGCUUGCCGCGGUGAAUACGUUCCCGGGUCUUGUACACACCGCCCGUCACACCAUGGGAGCGGGUUCUGCCAGAAGUAGUUAGCCUAACCGCAAGGAGGGCGAUUACCACGGCAGGGUUCGUGACUGGGGUGAAGUCGUAACAAGGUAACC